AAAUUGAAGAGUUUGAUCAUGGCUCAGAUUGAACGCUGGCGGCAGGCCUAACACAUGCAAGUCGAGCGGCAGCGGGAAAGUAGCUUGCUACUUUUGCCG
rnacentral:rRNA from 1 species